rnacentral:rRNA from 1 species
CCCUUAGAUGUCCGGGGCUGCACGCGCGCUACACUGAAGGAAUCAGCGUGCUAAAACCAUUGUCGAAAGGCAUUGGUAAACCCAUUAAAAUCCUACGUGAUUGGGAUCGGGAAUUGCAAUUAUUUCCCUUGAACGAGGAAUUCCCAGUAAGUGUGGGUCAUAAGCUCGCGUUGAUUACGUCCCUGCCCUUUGUACACACCGCCCGUCGCUGCCCGGGACUGAGCCGCUUCGAGAAAAGCGGGGACUGCUGCUGUCGGGGCUUUCGGGCCUUGGCUUCGGUGGAAACCGCUUUAAUCGCAGUGGCUUGAACCGGGCAAAAGUCGUAACA